rnacentral:rRNA from 1 species
UUAAGCGACUAAGCGUACACGGUGGAUGCCCUGGCAGUCAGAGGCGAUGAAGGGCGUGCUAAUCUGCGAUAAGCGCCGGUAAGGUGAUAUGAACCGUUAUAACCGGCGAUACCCGAAUGGGGAAACCCAGUGUGAUUCGUCACACUAUCAUUAACUGAAUCCAUAGGUUAAUGAGGCGAACCGGGGGAACUGAAACAUCUAAGUACCCCGAGGAAAAGAAAUCAACCGAGAUUCCCCCAGUAGCGGCGAGCGAACGGGGAGGAGCCCAGAGCCUGAAUCAGCAUGUGUGUUAGUGGAAGCGUCUGGAAAGGCGCGCGAUACAGGGUGACAGCCCCGUACACAAAAGCGCAUGUGCUGUGAGCUCGAUGAGUAGGGCGGGACACGUGGUAUCCUGUCUGAAUAUGGGGGGACCAUCCUCCAAGGCUAAAUACUCCUGACUGACCGAUAGUGAACCAGUACCGUGAGGGAAAGGCGAAAAGAACCCCGGCGAGGGGAGUGAAAAAGAACCUGAAACCGUGUACGUACAAGCAGUGGGAGCACCCUUUGGGGUGUGACUGCGUACCUUUUGUAUAAUGGGUCAGCGACUUAUAUUCUGUAGCAAGGUUAACCGAAUAGGGGAGCCGGAGGGAAACCGAGUCUUAAUUGGGCGUUAAGUUGCAGGGUAUAGACCCGAAACCCGGUGAUCUAGCCAUGGGCAGGUUGAAGGUUGGGUAACACUAACUGGAGGACCGAACCGACUAAUGUUGAAAAAUUAGCGGAUGACCUGUGGCUGGGGGUGAAAGGCCAAUCAAACCGGGAGAUAGCUGGUUCUCCCCGAAAGCUAUUUAGGUAGCGCCUCGUGAACUCAUCUCCGGGGGUAGAGCACUGUUUCGGCUAGGGGGUCAUCCCGACUUACCAACCCGAUGCAAACUGCGAAUACCGGAGAAUGUUAUCACGGGAGACACACGGCGGGUGCUAACGUCCGUCGUGAAGAGGGAAACAACCCAGACCGCCAGCUAAGGUCCCAAAGUCAUGGUUAAGUGGGAAACGAUGUGGGAAGGCCCAGACAGCCAGGAUGUUGGCUUAGAAGCAGCCAUCAUUUAAAGAAAGCGUAAUAGCUCACUGGUCGAGUCGGCCUGCGCGGAAGAUGUAACGGGGCUAAACCAUGCACCGAAGCUGCGGCAGCGACGCUUAUGCGUUGUUGGGUAGGGGAGCGUUCUGUAAGCCUGCGAAGGUGGCCUGUGAGGGUUGCUGGAGGUAUCAGAAGUGCGAAUGCUGACAUAAGUAACGAUAAAGCGGGUGAAAAGCCCGCUCGCCGGAAGACCAAGGGUUCCUGUCCAACGUUAAUCGGGGCAGGGUGAGUCGACCCCUAAGGCGAGGCCGAAAGGCGUAGUCGAUGGGAAACGGGUUAAUAUUCCCGUACUUGGUGUUACUGCGAAGGGGGACGGAGAAGGCUAUGUUGGCCGGGCGACGGUUGUCCCGGUUUAAGCGUGUAGGUGUGUGUUCCAGGUAAAUCCGGUUCACUUUAACACUGAGGCGUGAUGACGAGGCACUACGGUGCUGAAGCAACAAAUGCCCUGCUUCCAGGAAAAGCCUCUAAGCAUCAGGUAACAUCAAAUCGUACCCCAAACCGACACAGGUGGUCAGGUAGAGAAUACCAAGGCGCUUGAGAGAACUCGGGUGAAGGAACUAGGCAAAAUGGUGCCGUAACUUCGGGAGAAGGCACGCUGACAUGUAGGUGAAGUGAUUUACUCAUGGAGCUGAAGUCAGUCGAAGAUACCAGCUGGCUGCAACUGUUUAUUAAAAACACAGCACUGUGCAAACACGAAAGUGGACGUAUACGGUGUGACGCCUGCCCGGUGCCGGAAGGUUAAUUGAUGGGGUCAGCGCAAGCGAAGCUCCUGAUCGAAGCCCCGGUAAACGGCGGCCGUAACUAUAACGGUCCUAAGGUAGCGAAAUUCCUUGUCGGGUAAGUUCCGACCUGCACGAAUGGCGUAAUGAUGGCCAGGCUGUCUCCACCCGAGACUCAGUGAAAUUGAACUCGCUGUGAAGAUGCAGUGUACCCGCGGCAAGACGGAAAGACCCCGUGAACCUUUACUAUAGCUUGACACUGAACAUUGAGCCUUGAUGUGUAGGAUAGGUGGGAGGCUUUGAAGCGUGGACGCCAGUCUGCGUGGAGCCGACCUUGAAAUACCACCCUUUAAUGUUUGAUGUUCUAACGUGGACCCGUGAUCCGGGUUGCGGACAGUGUCUGGUGGGUAGUUUGACUGGGGCGGUCUCCUCCUAAAGAGUAACGGAGGAGCACGAAGGUUGGCUAAUCCUGGUCGGACAUCAGGAGGUUAGUGCAAUGGCAUAAGCCAGCUUGACUGCGAGCGUGACGGCGCGAGCAGGUGCGAAAGCAGGUCAUAGUGAUCCGGUGGUUCUGAAUGGAAGGGCCAUCGCUCAACGGAUAAAAGGUACUCCGGGGAUAACAGGCUGAUACCGCCAAGAGUUCAUAUCGACGGCGGUGUUUGGCACCUCGAUGUCGGCUCAUCACAUCCUGGGGCUGAAGUAGGUCCCAAGGGUAUGGCUGUUCGCCAUUUAAAGUGGUACGCGAGCUGGGUUUAGAACGUCGUGAGACAGUUCGGUCCCUAUCUGCCGUGGGCGCUGGAGAACUGAGGGGGCUGCUCCUAGUACGAGAGGACCGGAGUGGACGCAUCACUGGUGUUCGGGUUGUCAUGCCAAUGGCACUGCCCGGUAGCUAAAUGCGGAAGAGAUAAGUGCUGAAAGCAUCUAAGCACGAAACUUUCCCCGAGAUGAGUUCUCCCUGAGACUUAGAGUCUCCUGAAGGAACGUUGAAGACGACGACGUUGAUAGGCCGGGUGUGUAAGCGCAGCGAUGCGUUGAGCUAACCGGUACUAAUGAACCGUGAGGCUUAACCUU